AUUGAACGCUGGCGGCAGGCCUAACACAUGCAAGUCGAGCGGAUGAAGGGAGCUUGCUCCUGGAUUCAGCGGCGGACGGGUGAGUAAUGCCUAGGAAUCUGCCUGGUAGUGGGGGAUAACGUCCGGAAACGGGCGCUAAUACCGCAUACGUUCUGAGGGAGAAAGUGGGGGAUCUUCGGACCUCACGCUAUCAGAUGAGCCUAGGUCGGAUUAGCUAGUUGGUGGGGUAAAGGCCUACCAAGGCGACGAUCCGUAACUGGUCUGAGAGGAUGAUCAGUCACACUGGAACUGAGACACGGUCCAGACUCCUACGGGAGGCAGCAGUGGGGAAUAUUGGACAAUGGGCGAAAGCCUGAUCCAGCCAUGCCGCGUGUGUGAAGAAGGUCUUCGGAUUGUAAAGCACUUUAAGUUGGGAGGAAGAGCAGUAAGUUAAUACCUUGCUGUUUUGACGUUACCAACAGAAUAAGCACCGGCUAACUUCGUG
rnacentral:rRNA from 1 species